rnacentral:rRNA from 1 species
AACGAACGCUGGCGGCAGGCUUAACACAUGCAAGUCGAACGCUCGUAGCGAUACGAGAGUGGCAGACGGGUGAGUAACACGUGGGAACAUACCCUUUGGUUCGGAACAACGCGUGGAAACGCGCGCUAAUACCGGAUAAGCCUCUGGAGUGAUCCGGGGAAGAUGAUGCGAGAUGCCGCGUCGAUUAGCUUGUUGGUGAGGUAACGGCUCACCAAGGCAUCGANCGGUAGCUGGUCUGAGAGGA